UACGGUCAUAUCAUGUUGAAACACCGGUUCCUAUACGAUCACCUUAGUUAAGCAAUGUCGAGCCUAGUCAGUACUUAGAUGGGUAACCGCUUGGGAAUACUGGGUGUUGUAUG